rnacentral:rRNA from 1 species
UACGGAGGGGGCUAGCGUUGUUCGGAAUUACUGGGCGUAAAGCGCGCGUAGGCGGACCUGCAAGUCGGGGGUGAAAGCCCGAGGCUCAACCUCGGAACUGCCUUCGAUACUGUGGUGCUCGAGUACUGGAGAGGAGAUUGGAAUUUACGGUGUAGCAGUGAAAUGCGUAGAUAUCGUAAGGAAGACCAGUGGCGAAGGCGAAUCUCUGGACAGUUACUGACACUGAGGCACGAAGGCCAGGGGAGCAAACGGG